UACAGAGGGGGCAAGCGUUGUUCGGAAUUACUGGGCGUAAAGGGCGCGUAGGCGGCCGCCUAAGUCAGACGUGAAAUCCCUCGGCUCAACCGGGGAACUGCGUCUGAUACUGGGUGGCUUGAAUCCGGGAGAGGGAUGCGGAAUUCCAGGUGUAGCGGUGAAAUGCGUAGAUAUCUGGAGGAACACCGGUGGCGAAGGCGGCAUCCUGGACCGGCAUUGACGCUGAGGUGCGAAAGCCGG
rnacentral:rRNA from 1 species